GCUUUGGAUAGCUCAGUUGGUUAGAGUGCGGUGCUGAUAACGCAAAGGUUGCAGGUUUGAUCCCUGUAUGGGAAAGCU
rnacentral:tRNA from 1 species